rnacentral:rRNA from 1 species
GGGAAGGUAGUCGUAACAAGGUUUCCGUAGGUGAAACCUGCGGAAGGAUCAUUGUCGAAUCCUACAGACCACCGCGAACCCGUAAUCAAAACGGCGGGCUGCUCGGGGGCGGGGGAGACCCCGUCACCGGGCGCGCGCACCCACUCACAAAUCCGGCGCGAAAAGCGCCAAGUAAUACUCAAAAGGAUCGCCUCGGCGUCCCGGCGGCUUCCGCAGGGUUCGCGCGGCGUCUGAAUCGUUUAACCAAAACGACUCUCGGCAACGGAUAUCUAGGCUCUCGCAUCGAUGAAGAACGUAGCGAAAUGCGAUACUUGGUGUGAAUUGCAGAAUCCCGUGAACCAUCGAGUUUUUGAACGCAAGUUGCGCCCGAAGCCAUUAGGCCGAGGGCACGCCUGCCUGGGCGUCACGCAUCUCGUCGCCACCCCAAUCCUGCCAACUACGGUCGGACGCGGGUGACGGAAGUUGGCCUCCCGUGCCUCGCGGCGCGGCCGGCCUAAAUGAGAGUCCUCGGCUCGGGACGUCACGACAAGUGGUGGUUGAAACAAUCAAACACGAGUGCUGUCGCGACGACGCCCGACGCCAGUGGGGGACUGCUAGACCCCGGAGCCCUCGGGCCCUCGACCGCGACCCCAGGUCAGGCGGGAUUACCCGCUGAG